rnacentral:rRNA from 1 species
UACGUAGGGUGCAAGCGUUAAUCGGAAUUACUGGGCGUAAAGCGUGCGCAGGCGGCUAUGCAAGACAGAUGUGAAAUCCCCGGGCUUAACCUGGGAACUGCAUUUGUGACUGCAUAGCUAGAGUACGGGUAGAGGGGGAUGGAAUUCCGCGUGUAGCAGUGAAAUGCGUAGAUAUGCGGAGGAACACCGAUGGCGAAGGGCAAUCCCCCUGGACCUGUACUGACGCUCAUGCACGAAAGCGUGGGGAGCAAACGAGG